GCCUGGGUGGCUCAAUCAGUUAAGCAUCUGACUCCUGUUCAGGUGAUGAUCUCACGGUUUGUGAGUUAAAGCCCCACCUCCGGCU
rnacentral:tRNA from 1 species